AUUGAACGCUGGCGGCAGGCCUAACACAUGCCAGUCGAGCGGAUGAAGGGAGCUUGCUCCUGGAUUCAGCGGCGGACGGGUGAGUAAUGCCUAGGAAUCUGCCUGGUAGUGGGGGAUAACGUCCGGAAACGGGCGCUAAUACCGCAUACGUCCUGAGGGAGAAAGUGGGGGAUCUUCGGACCUCACGCUAUCAGAUGAGCCUAGGCCGGAUUAGCUAGUUGGUGGGGUAAAGGCCUACCAAGGCGACGAUCCGUAACUGGUCUGAGAGGAUGAUCAGUCACACUGGAACUGAGACACGGUCCAGACUCCUACGGGAGGCAGCAGUGGGGAAUAUUGGACAAUGGGCGAAAGCCUGAUCCAGCCAUGCCGCGUGUGUGAAGAAGGUCUUCGGAUUGUAAAGCACUUUAAGUUGGGGGGAAGGGCAGUAAGUUAAUACCUUGCUGUUUUGACGUUACCAACAGAAUAAGCACCGGCUAACUUCGUG
rnacentral:rRNA from 1 species